UACCAGCGCCCCGAGUGGUCUGGACGUUUAUUGGGCGUAAAGCGUGCGUAGGCGGCUUUUUAAGUCUGGUGUUAAAGCUCGGGGCUCAACCCCUGUGAUGCACUGGAUACUGGGUAGCUUGAGUGCGGUAGGGGAAGGUGGAAUUCCGAGUGUAGCGGUGAAAUGCGUAGAUAUUCGGAAGAACACCGGUGGCGAAGGCGACCUUCUGGGCCGCAACUGACGCUGAGGCACGAAAGCCUGGGGAGCGAACGGG
rnacentral:rRNA from 1 species